GACGAACGCUGGCGGCGUGCCUAAUACAUGCAAGUAGAACGCACAGUUUAUACCGUAGCUUGCUACACCAUAGACUGUGAGUUGCGAACGGGUGAGUAACGCGUAGGUAACCUGCCUGGUAGCGGGGGAUAACUAUUGGAAACGAUAGCUAAUACCGCAUAAUAUUAAUUAUUGCAUGAUAAUUAAUUGAAAGGUGCAAUUGCACCACUACCAGAUGGACCUGCGUUGUAUUAGCUAGUAGGUGAGGUAACGGCUCACCUAGGCGACGAUACAUAGCCGAGCUGGGAGGGUGGUCGGCCACCCUGGGAAUGAGACACGGCCCAGACUCCUACGGGAGGCAGCAGUAGGGAAACUUUGGCAAUGGACGGAAGGCUGACCGAGCAACGCCGGGGGAGUGAAGAAGGGUUUCGGGUCGGAAAGCUCUGUUGUAAGGGAAGAACGGGUGUGAGAGUGGAAAGUUCACAUUGUGACGGUACCUUAACAGAAAGGGACGGCUAACUACGUG
rnacentral:rRNA from 1 species